rnacentral:lncRNA from 1 species
CAAAAACUAUUGAAAUAAAAAAUAAAAUCCCAUUAAAAAAAUAAACUACUACUGAUAUAAACAAUGAAGAUCAUAAAAUGUAACUGGAAAUAAUUUUUUGUCCCACAAUAAGUCAUUGUUUAAAUUAUGGUAUAUCCAUCCAAUGAAAAAUCAUGCAGUCAUUAAAAAAAAAAAUCCACUUUAAGAUACCACUCCACACCCACGAGGCUAACCAUAAGAAAAAAGACAUCAUAAUAAGGGUUAAAAAUUCAGAGAAACCGGAAUCUUCAUAUACUGCUGGUGGGAAUGUAAAAUGGUGUAGUUACUAUGGAAAAUAGUUUGGCAAUUCCUAAAAAAGAAAGAGCUACCAUGUAACCCAGUGUUUCCACUCAAGAGAAGUGAAAAAAAAAGGUCUCAUACAAAUAUCUGUACUUGAAUGUUCGUAAUAGCCAGAAAGUGAAACAACCCAAAUGUCUACAGCUGAUGAAUGGGUCACUGAAAUGAGCUCUGAUGACACAAUGGGGUAUGACCACGUGCCAUGUGGUGGAAGGGAGCGCUGAUCCGUGCCACAGGGUAGACGCCCCUUGAGAACGUGCUGAGAGGAAAGCGCCAGCACAGAGGCCACCUAUGGUGCGAUUCCACUGAUACACAACGUCCAGAACAGAGGCCAAGAUAACUAUGAGAGGAAUGUAGUUUAUAGUUAAACUUCAAGGCAAGGAAAAAUGACACCCGUCCUUGUUUGGAGAUUAAGACUGGCAUUGCUACAGGGGCCUGAACUUUGCUAAAGAACAGGCACGGGUAAACCAUGACCUGUCACUGCUUACUUAGCUUGCUCUUCUACAGUGCCUGCUACCCGGAGUCACGUAACCAGACGUUGUCAGAUUCGGAACUUCCCUAACGGCUCCUACAGACAUCACUGCUGUGAAACCUAAAAAACUGGUCUUUGGGAUAUUUUUCAGAUUUAGCAUUUCAGCAGAUCAAGAGAUGCCACCUGGACUUGUGACCCCAUCUCCCAGGAACUGACUCAGCUGCACGGAGACAGUCCUGACACCCCUAUCAUUGCAUCCCCAACACAACCAACCAGCAUUCACCACUCCCUAGGCCGCUGCCCGCCAAAACACCCUCAAGCCCUCGCCUCCUAAUUCUCAGGGAGACAGAUGUGAGAGUUAUCUCGCGUCCACCUCCCUCGGCUGGCUCUGCAAUCAUUAAACUCCCUCUCUGCUGCCACACCUGCCGUUCUCAGUGCAUUGGCUUUCUGGGCAGCAAGAAGAACCCUGUUGGGCGAUUACAGUCUUAAUUUGCAUUCCCCUAAUAACUAACAAUGUUGACCAU